rnacentral:rRNA from 1 species
UACGAAGGGUGCAAGCGUUACUCGGAAUUACUGGGCGUAAAGCGUGCGUAGGUGGUGAGUUAAGUCUGUCGUGAAAGCCCCGGGCUCAACCUGGGGAAUGGCGAUGGAUACUGGCUCGCUAGAGUGCGGUAGAGGAGAGUGGAAUUCCCGGUGUAGCAGUGAAUGCGUAGAGAUCGGGAGGAACAUCAGUUGCGAAGGCGGCUCUCUGGACCAGCACUGACACUGAGAGACGAAGCAGGGGAGCGAAUGGG